UAUGUGCGCAGCUGUGUCAAUGUUUAUAAUUUUAUUUUUUUGUUUAGGCUCCUAGAAAACAGUAAACAUGCUAUCUAAUCUUUCUUUUGAUGAAAAGCUGAUAAAGAUUGCACAACUUGUUUCCUUAAUUCUAUUCAGGUUCCCGAAUAUUGCCCCGCUGUAGAUGUAGAAGGAAUUUUCCAGUCAGGGUUUGAGUUGAUAAUUUUUGCUUUUGAUGAAGUAAUUUGUCUCGGGCACAAAGAAACCGUUAUUAUUUCACAGGUUGAACAAUAUUGUGAGAUGGAAAGUAAGAAAACUUGCAUAAGCUGUUAAGGCAGAGUAUCGACGACACCAAGGAUGUUAUGAAGCGUGAAGCUAGUGAGAUUGAAAAAAUCAAGUCAACUGCUGGCCGUCUGUAUGUGGAGGUGACAGUUAUGUUAGCAUGGAAUAUGAGGCAUCAAUGAUGCUUGAUUUGCACAAUCUUGUGAUCUCGGUCCCCCUUCCUGCACUUCAAGAUACACCAAAUGUGAGCCAGGUUGAUGGUGAUUGGAGGCAAUUGGUUCUUUUUUUGUUGGAAGUACUGUGCCAGCAACAAUAAAAGUGAGAAUUGCAGUGCUGAGGCUCAACUUACCGAGUCGAAGAAAGAGAAAGACUAACUGAAGGAUACCAGCAUUGAUCGCAGCUGCUUGAGACAUCUGUUGUCUUUUGUUGUUUUUUUUUUCCUUGGAUGUUGUCUCCUUUCUUUAAUGUUACUUGAAAAAAGAACACUCGUGAGAUUGGGUUAUUAUAAUAUAUGAUGAUUUGUUUUGAAUUUAAAA